CCUCCUUGGGGUCCUCCCAACGGAGCGACAGCACGGUUGGGGGCCCACCAUGGAGACCCUGGUCUUUUUGUUUUGGAUUGCUACUGGCGCAGCCUAUCGGGUUGUGUCCAGAGCUUUUGGCAUUCCAAUGUCAUCUGUCCAUAGAAUGGUGCAUAGCAUUGCGGAGGAGGUGGUAGCUGUCCGGGGCAGUUUUAUCAAGCUGCCAUCAAAUGAUGAGGAGGUCAAGGCCAUGGGGGAAGGGUUUGCCCUGCUGGCAGGGCACCCUGCUUUCGCCAAAGCAGCUGGGGCCAAAGACGGGUCCCACGCCUCUCAACCAAACGCUCAAGGAGAGAGAAGAAACGGUCAAACCGCUCCCUUGACUCCACCUCUCUCCUCUCAUCCGCCUGCCGCUGGUAAAGGAUAUCCUCCCUCACCAGAAGCAGGAAGGGAUCCUCCCUCCCUCUUCUCCCUGCUCCGGCCCCUGCUGCACCCGCUGCUCCUUCCCCUGCGGCUGUCGCUGUGCUGGCUCCUGCUCUCCCUCCUCUCACCACCUCAUCCUCCUCCUCCACUCUGACCCUAACCUGGCCUGGCCUGGCUGGGAGAGAGCCCACUACCACUGGCGGUGACACGGCUGCUGAGCUGCCAAUGAGCUCGUCCAUUAAGGCAAACCAGCGCCAUGUCCCUGCUGUGGGCCUGCCAUCCUCCGUACCUUGACCUGAGGCAGGGCACAAGGUUACAUACAUUGGUAUCCCCAUGUACCCCAACGGUAUCCCCCUGUACCCCAACCCCAUUGUAUGUAUGUUAUCAUCAAGGUGAAAUGUAUAAAUGUAUUUUAUGGAUGUUCUUUAUGUGCCUAUGACGAGAAAUUAAAAUGAGAAAUGACGGAAAGAAAAAAGAAUUUCCCCAAGGGGCCAACUAAUAAACAAACUAAAUUUAUUAUUCUUUCUCUGAUCUAGUUAAUUGAGAUUAGCUCACAGAAUGAUAUGGUUUACAUUUUUGGACUUUGACUCAGCUUUUAUAUGACAGAUCAUUUGUGCAUAUAGAAUGACAUAACAAAUAUUGGUUUUAAG
ensembl:lncRNA